GUCUACAGCUAUGCUACCCUGAACAAGCCCGAUCCUGUCUGAUCUCAAAAGCUAAGCAGGGUCGGGCCUGCUUAACACUUGCUACCCUGAACAAGCCCGAUCCUGUCUGACCUCAAAAGCUAAGCAGGGUCAGGCCUGCUUAACAUGUGGAUAGGAGACCAGCUAGGAAGACCAGAUGCUGUAGGUA
rnacentral:rRNA from 1 species